ACGAAACAUGCGCACUCUCCCUCAGAGACUACACUGUCGUUUUGAGAGUUUGGUCACCUUACUAACCAGCAUGUGACAAUGGAAUCGACACCAAAAUGAUCUUUGUGUAAUGCACUUUGGCCAGUCUACAGUUGAAUAUAUAGCAUGUUGCCAACAGCUUUAUUACUGUCAUAAUAAUGUCCUGCGUCGUAUUGGUAAAAGAUAUACAACAGAUGUAGAAAAACAGUAUUUUGAGCUUGUAAAGAUUGUAUAAUUAGACCUCCCAUAUAAGUGGGACCUUAAACAGUAGGUGAGCAAACAGCUGAAGACACUGAUCGGUGAUUGGAUAUGAAAUUGAUGAAAUCGAUUCAGUUUACAGAGACGGAUUUCCAAACACGACGCCGAGUAAAAACCAAUACCAAGUUUGGUCUGGUAAAAAUCUUCAUAUUUUGGAUAAUAAGUUCUACAAUUGCCUCCAAUCUGAAAUGUUUUGACCACAGGUUUACUUUGAUUAAAAAACAUUGAUUUGCGAAUAUAAUUCAAAAUUCAGACUUGUUUAUGUGAAUAUACAGUAUAAUUUAUUAUUGUUAAAAAACUAUACAAACCUUAAACUGCAUCAGAAAACAAUCAUUUACAUGUAAUUGAUGUCUCUUGUUAGUCCUUUUUAAUACAAGACAUAAAUCAAUUAAGGGGUAACAGCAAUUUCAAAAAUAGUUUUUAUUUUAUUUUGGUAGCUAAGCAAUGAACAUUUACAAUAUUGUUUUGAGUUUUUAAUGUCUUUGGAAAAAAAAAUACAAGUAGCGUUCAAAAGAAAAUAUAAAAUAAAUGUUUAAAAGAAAAGAUUUCAUUUUCAAACCUUUUUUUUGAGGGUUGCGUUGUAUUAAAAAGCUGCAAAAGUUAGAAUGUCAUGUGACCUGAUAUUAUAAUUGCUGCACAUGCACCAAUCCAAGCAUCCACAGGGAGAAAUGGGACGCUGGUUCUCUUGCAAUGUUUUUGGGUAACCCUUUACAUGAA